rnacentral:misc_RNA from 1 species
GUGCCGGAUUGAGCAGCUGUAAAUUGUGAGCUGUGUUUAAAACACAGUUCUGGAAAGUUGCUGCGUAAGUUCUUGGAAUAAAUUUGUGUAACGAAGAUAGUGAGCAAAAGUUUGUAUUUGUGCAUGAACUCUGUUAGAAAAGGAUCAACAAACUUUUAGACAAGAACCAAACUCCAUGGCUGCUUGAGUUGCAAAUAUUUCAACCACUCUGUGCAAUUCGGCUGAGGUUAUGAAACAAGCGUAGGUUGUCUGCUCCUUGCAGAUUCAAGUGCAUUUGUUACAGCCAUGCUGUAUAUUGUGGACGUUCAAGCUUCAUGUUCGAAAUACUCAGUUAUCUUCAACAACUAGUAGACCUCAAUCCCUAGUUAUAUUGCUUGUUGUCCAUGUCGCUCUAUUUAUCCCAUCUCUGUCCAGAAUAUAGUCUGGUGUGUUUAAACUGGGAAAAUACUACUGGAUCCGAAUUGUAUAACUUUCAUGUAUUAUAAUGUCCCCUUGCCUAGGUCUAUUUUGGUACUUCACUUUAACAUUGUAAUUCCAAUAUGAGUUUCUUUGCGAUGUAAAUGAAUUGCAUAAACUACGCAUUAUAU